rnacentral:tRNA from 1 species
CUGUGGCUUAGUUGGUUAAAGCGCCGGUCUAGCGAAUACGUGGGUCGUGGGUUCAAAUCCCACCAG